CCUACGGGCGGCAGCAGUAGGGAAUCUUCCACAAUGGGCGAAAGCCUGAUGGAGCAACGCCGCGUGGGUGAAGAAGGUCUUCGGAUCGUAAAACCCUGUUGUUAGAGAAGAAAGUGCGUGAGAGUAACUGUUCACGUUUCGACUGUAUCUAACCAGCAAGCCACGGCUAACUACGUGCCAGCAGCCGCGGUAAUACGUCGGUGGCAAGCGUUAUCCGGAUUUAUUGGGCGUAAAGGGAACGCAGGCGGUCUUUUAAGUCUGAUGUGAAAGCCUUCGGCUUAACCGGAGUAGUGCAUUGGAAACUGGGAGACUGGAGUGCAGAAGAGGAGAGUGGAACUCCAUGUGUAGCGGUGAAAUGCGUAGAUAUAUGGAAGAACACCAGUGGCGAAGGCGGCUCUCUGGUCUGUAACUGACGCUGAGGUUCGAAAGCGUGGGUAGCAAACAGGAUUAGAUACCCCAGUAGUC
rnacentral:rRNA from 1 species